AUUAAGUAUAAUAAUAAUAAUAAUAAUAAUAAUAAUAAUAAUAAGGGCAAGACUACUAUGCUUUCGAAAAUAUGAAGAUCUUCAUACUUGCAAGUUGUUUUCGAUGAUGAAACGUACAAUUAUGCGAUCGGCUCUAUUUGAUAUCAUUUACAGUAUUGGAACUAUCGAGAAACUAAAUUUUAUAAUUUUUUGACUUCGUUUGUCUACCGAACGAGUAGUCUCAAAAUAAACGAUUGCAAAUAAAAAUUUCAUAAAAAAUAAUAAUCAAAGACUUAAAA
rnacentral:lncRNA from 1 species